rnacentral:misc_RNA from 1 species
GAAAUGCGAUAAGUAGUGUGAAUUGCAGAAUUCAGUGAAUCAUCGAAUCUUUGAACGCACAUUGCGCCCCCUGGUAUUCCGGGGGGCAUGCCUGUCCGAGCGUCAUUGCUGCCCUCAAGCACGGCUUGUGUGUUGGGCCCCGUCCCCUCCCCCGGGGACGGGCCCGAAAGGCAGCGGCGGCACCGCGUCCGAUCCUCGAGCGUAUGGGGCUUUGUCACCCGCUCUGUAGGCCCGGCCGGCGCCAGCCGACACCCAACUUUUAUUUCUAAGGUUGACCUCGGAUCAGGUAGGGAUACCCGCUGAACUUAAGC